rnacentral:rRNA from 1 species
CAGUCGCCGCGGUAAUACAGAGGGUGCGAGCGUUAAUCGGAUUUACUGGGCGUAAAGCGUGCGUAGGCGGCUUUUUAAGUCGGAUGUGAAAUCCCUGAGCUUAACUUAGGAAUUGCAUUCGAUACUGGGAAGCUAGAGUAUGGGAGAGGAUGGUAGAAUUCCAGGGGUAGCGGUGAAAUGCGUAGAGAUCUGGAGGAAUACCGAUGGCGAAGGCAGCCAUCUGGCCUAAUACUGACGCUGAGGUACGAAAGCAUGGGGAGCAAACAGGAUUAGAUACCCCUGUAGUCCCUGUCUCUUAUAC